rnacentral:tRNA from 1 species
GCCCUCGUGGCGGAAUGGCAGACGCGGCAGAUUUAGGUUCUGUUGGGAGACCGUGCAGGUUCAACUCCUGUCGAGGGCA